rnacentral:rRNA from 1 species
UACGUAGGGCGCAAGCGUUAUCCGGAAUUAUUGGGCGUAAAGAGCUCGUAGGCGGUUUGUCGCGUCUGCUGUGAAAGACCGAGGCUCAACCUCGGGUCUGCAGUCGAUACGGGCGGACUGGAGUUCGGCAGGGGAGACUGGAAUUCCUGGUGUAGCGGUGAAAUGCGCAGAUAUCAGGAGGAACACCGGUGGCGAAGGCGGGUCUCUGGGCCGAUACUGACGCUGAGGAGCGAAAGCGUGGGGAGCGAACAGG